rnacentral:misc_RNA from 1 species
UCCGAGUUGUCCCCGGCAGUCCCUCUAGAGUCCCCGGCAUUACCCGCUGGCAACUAAAGGCAGGUGCUGCAUGGCUAAUCGACGAUAUGAGCCGGUGUUUCCUCAGGGGAUUGCUCCCCUGGGGGCCAAUCGUCGAUUAGCCAUGCAGCACCUGUGCUAGCCCCUUACGGACACGGGCUUUCACCCGCUUUAACUAGCAUGUCAAGCCCAGGUAAGGUUCUUCGCGUUGCAUCGAAUUAAGCCACAUGCUCCGCCGCUUGUGCGGGCCCCCGUCAAUUCCUUUGAGUCUUAGCCUUGCGGCCGUACUCCCCGGGCGGAGUGCUUAAUGCGUUAGCUGCGGCACAGAACGGGUUGAAGACCACCCCACACCUAGCACUCAACGUUUACGGCUGGGACUAC